rnacentral:rRNA from 1 species
GAAACUUAAAGGAAGUUGACGGGGCCGCACAAGCGGUGGAGCAUGUGGUUAAUUCGAAGCAACGCGAAGAACCUUACCAGGUCUUGACAUCCGAUGCUAUUUCUAGAGAUAGAAAGUUACUUCGGUACAUCGGUGACAGGUGGUGCAUGGUUGUCGUCAACUCGUGUCGUGAGAUGUUGGGUUAAGUCCCGCAACGAGCGCAACCCCUAUUGUUAGUUGCCAUCAUUCAGUUGGGCACUCUAGCGAGACUGCCGGUAAUAAACCGGAGGAAGGUGGGGAUGACGUCAAAUCAUCAUGCCCCUUAUGACCUGGGCUACACACGUGCUACAAUGGUUGGUACAACGAGUUGCGAGUCGGUGACGGCGAGCUAAUCUCUUAAAGCCAAUCUCAGUUCGGAUUGUAGGCUGCAACUCGCCUACAUGAAGUCGGAAUCGCUAGUAAUCGCGGAUCAGCACGCCGCGGUGAAUACGUUCCCGGGCCUU